rnacentral:rRNA from 1 species
AGAGUUUGAUUCUGGCUCAGAACGAACGCUGGCGGCGUGGAUAAGACAUGCAAGUCGAGCGCUGAUUACAGGGUAGCAAUAUUCUGUGGUCGGAGCGGCGCAAGGGUGCGUAACACGUGGGUAAUUUGCCAUGAAGUCUGGAAUAACUUGCUGAAAGGCGAGCUAAUGCCGGAUGUGAAAAUUGGGAGGCAUCUUCUGAUUUUCAAAGCUGGGGACCGUAAGGCCUGGCGCUUCAUGAUAAGCCCGCGGCCUAUCAGCUAGUUGGUGAGGUAACGGCUCACCAAGGCUAAGACGGGUAGCUGGUCUGAGAGGACGACCAGCCACACUGGAACUGAGACACGGUCCAGACACCUACGGGUGGCAGCAGUCGAGAAUUUUUCACAAUGGGCGAAAGCCUGAUGGAGCGACGCCGCGUGGGGGAUGAAUGGCUUCGGCCCGUAAACCCCUGUCAUUCGGGAUCAAUGCGUUUGGGUGAACAUCCCAAACGUUGAUAGUACCGGAAGAGGAAGGGACGGCUAACUCUGUGCCAGCAGCCGCGGUAAUACAGAGGUCCCAAGCGUUGUUCGGAUUUACUGGGCGUAAAGGGUGCGUAGGUGGUUGGGUAAGUCUGAUGUGAAAUCUCGGAGCUUAACUCCGAAACGGCAUUGGAUACUAUUCAGCUUGAGAGUUGGAGGGGGGACUGGAAUUCUCGGUGUAGCAGUGAAAUGCGUAGAUAUCGAGAGGAACACCAGUGGCGAAGGCGAGUCCCUGGACAACUUCUGACACUGAGGCACGAAAGCCAGGGGAGCAAACGGGAUUAGAUACCCCGGUAGUCCUGGCCCUAAACGGUGCACGUUUGCUGUAAAAGGAAUCGACCCCUUUUGUGGCGAAGCCAACGCGUUAAACGUGCCGCCUGGGAAGUACGGUCGCAAGAUUAAAACUCAAAGAAAUUGACGGGGGCCUGCACAAGCGGUGGAGUAUGUG